rnacentral:lncRNA from 1 species
AUGAGACUCCAUUACGAAAGAUUGGAGCUCCCUACAAAUUGUGCAGGACCGAUUUCCAGUGAGAAUAAGAGCACGCGUGUACACAGCAAAGCCAACUCACACGCACCAGUUUCAGUCUGCGGCCUCAAGCGCCUCCACCCCAGACAACUGCUGCACUGCAGAACCCAUCAAAUAUGCAGACAGAUGGAAAAGUCAUCAGGAAGUACAGCCAACUCUGUGUUCCCACCUUUCCGGGAGAGAAACGACAUUUGGUGCAGGAGCAGUGCAAAAUCACUAGGGAUCACUGAUCACAGGAUAGAAAGCUGUGAGAAGAGAAGUACUUUCCACUCCAUCUCCCACCAUCCUGAGUCCACACGGGCCCCUCCCUCAGCCUGCCUGGUGGACCACUGUCCACACACUGCGGGAGGAAGGAUACUAAAAAGUAUCUGGAGAAGAGCUGUCUCCAUUGCUGAGUUUUCUUUCAUGUUGUAUUUUAGGAUCACUUGGGCUGCUCUUUUCCCACCGAGACUUGGAACCUAUUUGGUUUUCCACAAAUUAAGAUCACUUAGCUCCUCUCAAAUUCACUUUGAGGGUGAACUUAAGGUCAUUUCUAACUUACAUAUUUAG